CCUACGGGAGGCAGCAGUGGGGAAUAUUGCACAAUGGGGGAAACCCUGAUGCAGCGACGCCGCGUGAGUGAAGAAGUAUUUCGGUAUGUAAAGCUCUAUCAGCAGGGAAGAAAAUGACGGUACCUGAUUCAGAAGCCCCGGCUAACUACGUGCCAACAGCCGCGGUAAUACGUCGGGGGCAAGCGUGAUCCGGAUUUACUGGGUGUAAAGGGAGCGUAGACGGCAGCACAAGUCUGGAGUGAAAUGCCGGGGCUUAACCCCGGAACUGCUUUGGAAACUGGGCAGCUAGAGUGCAGGAGAGGUAAGUGGAAUUCCUAGUGUAGCGGUGAAAUGCGUAGAGAUUAGGAGGAACACCAGUGGCGAAGGCGGCUUACUGGACGGUAACUGACGUUGAGGCUCGAAAGCGUGGGGAGCAAACAGGAUUAGAUACCCCAGUAGUC
rnacentral:rRNA from 1 species